CAUAAAACCGCAUGAGUAUCCACAUAGCAUCACCAAACUUCAUAAGGACCAUAACAAGUCCAGAAAACCAUCUUAUGAUCAACGUCACUUAUAAUAUUCAAUUGGUAGUAACCAGAUCUCAAUUCAAUCUUUGAAUCUUCGCAAUUACUUAUGAGCUGGUUAAAUAAACAUCAGUACAUCACCAUGGAUAACAGUUCUCAAUCGUUACCCGACUCCAUUGUCUAUAAUCAAUGAACAGUCUCAAGAUCCAUUUUCUUCCUCACCAACAAACUGGGGCUCCUCAAAAGUGUUGUACUAGGUUGAAUGAAGCUUUUAUCAACCAAUUCUUUCAACUGAAUUUCCAAUUCCCUUAACUCAUCCUAAACCAAUCUUUAACAUAAAUUUAUACCUGACAACAAUUCAAUAAUGAACCUCAUAUCUCUGCCUGAAGACAAUCCAGGUAUACUUUCAAGGAAGACAUCAAGAAAGUCUAACCCCUUUUGACAUUAUUCACACUACUCCAAACAACAUCAUUUAGCACCACAUGAGCUAAUAAUUUUUUUGACAGCCUUUCGAAAACAAUCUCUUUGCUCUCACAGCAAAUAACGGCCUGACUCAAUCCACUUUGCAUACUUACAAAAGUAAUCUCUGGUCAUCCAGAUCGAUGGAAAGUACUGGUUUCCCGUAACAUUCCGUCUUGUCACAAUUAUAACCAACCAAUCUAAUGGAACAGAAUUAACUGACACAAUACAUACUUUAUUAUUACUGAACAUUCUGAAUAAGUACAAUACUAACAUAAAAUAAUCUACCGGGUUGCUUGCUUAACGAAUCCACAAAUGAGUUAUUAAUAUUACGGUCUGCAGCCCGCAAUACUGAUAAAUCAUCGUUGUCUCGAUAAGUAGGCAACCACUCUCAAAGAUAUAACAUUACUAUUUUGUUACUCAAUGCAAAAUACAUACACUCGUCUCAACUACAUUUAUUUACUACUCUCUAGGUAACAACAUACAUAAUAAGAAAUAUAUCAGCCGAAGUCAACUAGAAUGACCAAUACGGCUGAUUCAACUCUUAUCUCAAUAAUACGUCGGCCGGAUCCACUCCGCGUGGUCGGUACGGCCGAACCUAUAACUCACCAAUUUCUCAUGUGUCAGUCGAAUCCAUUUCUCAUGGUCUGUACGGCUGAACAUAUAACUCAUCAAAUCUCUCUGUACUCACGGUCAAUCCGACCAAACUACUAAGUCCAUAACUCUGCUGAAUCGACACUAUGAUAUCAUGGAAAAUUGUUGAGUACAACUGAUUCUAGGGACAAUUCACAAUUCUGCGUCCCCUCUGUUCACAUAAACACAUUCAUUAAUUUCACACUUCCCAAAGUGUUAAUUUUUGUACCUGCUGCACAAGGUACAUUUCCUUUACUCGAGACACCUUGUCUCAAAUAUCUGGAUGGAACGAGGCAAGUCUGAAAACUUUCUAUAAUAUUCAUUUAUCGUCAACUUCCUUGAUUCACAUUUGCAAACUCUUGCUUACUACCAUCGAUAAAUGCCGGAGGGAUAAACUUUUCCUUAAACAAGUCCUUAAAUAAUUCUCAAUCAGCUGUUUCCUCCGGUGACAACAAUUCAUCGAUUCCUUUAGUGAUCAAAUCGAUCUGAUGUGUCUAAGACUUAUCUUGUCUUCCUUUCCAAAUCUUGCUAUUUCUUUUCAUGGUGAAAUUUCCAAAAAUAUAAAAUCAUCUACGUUAUACACUCGAUUAGUGGUAUAUUCAUCUGUUGAUGUCUUUUGUCAUUCCUGGUUACUUUUAGGUUAACUUAAUCACCUGAAUACUUUGAGGAGACUCAUCCAUAGUCUCAGGGUCUACUAAAACUCUUUCUUGAUCGAAUCUUUCUCUACCCAGAAAUAUUCCAUUCACAAGUCAACAAAACACCCCAUGACACACUUCAUGAACCUUAUGGCUUCACUUCGGAAACUGCGCAACCAACAUACUUAAGAAACUUAGCAGUUCCGUAAACCAAUUCUUCUUUCUAUAAAACAAAUAAGUACCGUUACUCAACCCUGGAGUAAAUGUACUAACUUGGUACAUUGAGCAACUAUCGCUUCAAAUUCAAUCAUAACCAUCCUAUGUAUCAUGAAACUUGUACACAUAAUCCAAAGUAAUAUUUUUCCAUUUCCACUGCGAAACAGAAAAUAACCGUCUCAAUCCAAAGGUUUACUUCUUUCUACUUCAAUCUGUUGACCAAUAAAAACGUCAAAUGGUAUACUAGAUCUCAAUACUUUUGGAAUAUUGCAGAAGUUGUACAGUGUACUUCGUCCAAAAUUGCUUGCUUUAAAUCCUCAGCAUUCGGUACAUACUUCUUGUUUUCUUGUAUCCACAUACCAUUUGAUUCACGAAUCAUGUACUCAUUCUUUUUCCCUUCUUUCUCUGCCUUGGUUAAUUCUUAAAUUUCCUCGUCAAACAUUUAAAUUUCGAGUACGACCUUACCAAACAGGCCUAACUUGAAAAUUAACAAGUAUAACUUCUUCUCGAUCUUUCAUUCUUAACUUUACUUUAAUUGAUUUUCAAUCCACGAGAAGAUAAUCUUGGCAAGCGUGCCUGACAUUAAUCUUACUGCAAUCUUUUCACCAAGUGUAUCAGCUACAACAUUUCACGAUCACCCUGAUCGUACAAUCAUAAUCACUAAGUAAUUCAAUCCACCUUUGUUGCCUCAUAUCAAAAUCCUUCCGAGUAAACAAAUAUUGGAGACUCUUUUGAUUUGUAAAAUCUUGCAUUCUUAUCAACAUAUAAUGCCUUCAUAACUUCACAGCAAGAAUGGUAAUCAUGACUUCUAAGUCACCCGUAGGGUAAUUCAUUUCAUGAGGUUCCAUUUAUCGUGAAAUGUAUGCAAUCACCCUAACAUUUGCAUCAACAUGCCUCUAAUACCAUUCAAGAAACAUCACUAAAAAUUUAUGAUUACCACUAUUCUCGGGGAUUACUAAAAUACGUGCAUGAGUGAGGAAAUACUUCAGUUGUUGAAUCCUUUGCUCACAAUUUCCUUCCCACUCAUACAUAACCUCUUUUCUCAACAGUCUCGUCAAUGACAAAGCAAUGACUAAAAACUCUUUCACAACCAUCCAAGAUAGCCUGGUAAGUUAAGAAAUUCCAAAUCUCAAUUACGACUCGUGGUUGUUCCAAAUUCUCAAUUUCUGCUAUCUUUUAAGGAUUCACUUGAAUACCUUAAGAAUAUAUAACAAAUCUCAGAAUGCCACCUGAUUCAUCUAACUUUAGCAUUUGCUACUUAGCAUACAACCAACGUUCUCUCAAUCUUUGCUUCACCGACUUAAUACGUUUACAUGCUCUGCUCUGGCUCAGAAUAUACCAGAAUAUCUUCAAUGAAAAUGAUAUCAAUUUAUCAAGGCAUUAUUGGAAUACUUCAUCCAUCAACUCAUAAAACCGCAUGAGUAUCCACAUAGCAUCACCAAACUUCAUAAGGACCAUAACAAGUCCAGAAAACCAUCUUAUGAUCAACGUCACUUAUAAUAUUCAAUUGGUAGUAACCAGAUCUCAAUUCAAUCUUUGAAUCUUCGCAAUUACUUAUGAGCUGGUUAAAUAAACAUCAGUACAUCACCAUGGAUAACAGUUCUCAAUCGUUACCCGACUCCAUUGUCUAUAAUCAAUGAACAGUCUCAAGAUCCAUUUUCUUCCUCACCAACAAACUGGGGCUCCUCAAAAGUGUUGUACUAGGUUGAAUGAAGCUUUUAUCAACCAAUUCUUUCAACUGAAUUUCCAAUUCCCUUAACUCAUCCUAAACCAAUCUUUAACAUAAAUUUAUACCUGACACAAUUCAAUAAUGAACCUCAUAUCUCUGCCUGAAGACAAUCCAGGUAUACUUUCAAGGAAGACAUCAAGAAAGUCUAACCCCUUUUGACAUUAUUCACACUACUCCAAACAACAUCAUUUAGCACCACAUGAGCUAAUAAUUUUUUUGACAGCCUUUCGAAAACAAUCUCUUUGCUCUCACAGCAUAAAUAACGGCCUGACUCAAUCCACUUUGCAUACUUACAAAAGUAAUCUCUGGUC
rnacentral:lncRNA from 1 species